rnacentral:rRNA from 1 species
CCAAUAGCGUAUAUUAAAGUUGUUGCAGUUAGAAAGCUCGUAGUUGAAUUUCGGGAUUCUACCGUUGGUCGGGCUAACAAGUCUGUACUGGUGUGUAGAAUUUCUACCUUCUGGGGAACUAUCAUGUUAUUAAUUUAGCGUGGUGGGAAACCAGGACCUUUACCUUGAAAAAAUUAGAGUGUUCAAAGCAGGCUUACGUCUGAAUACAUUAGCAUGGAAUAAUAGAAUAGGACGGUGGUCCUGUUUUGUUGGUUUCUGAAUCACCGUAAUGAUUAAUAGGGAUAUUUGGGGGCAUUAUUAUUCAAUUGUCAGAGGUGAAAUUCUUGGAUUUAUUGAAGACUAACUUCUGCGAAAGCAUUUGCCAAGGAUGUUUUCAUUAAUCAAGAACGAAAGUUAGGGGAUCGAAGACGAUCAGAUACCGUCGUAGUCUUAACCAUAAACUAUGCCGACUAGGGAUCGGACGAUGUUAAAUUUUAUUGACUCGUUCGGCGCCUUACG